GUAGGGAAUAUUGGACAAUGGGCGAAAGCCUGAUCCAGCCAUGCCGCGUGAUAGAUGAAGGCCCUCUGGGUUGUAAAUAUCUUUUAUCUGGGAAGAAACUCCUCUAUUCUUAGAGGCCUGACGGUACCAGAGGAAUAAGCACCGGCUAACUCCGUGCCAGCAGCCGCGGUAAUACGGAGGGUGCAAGCGUUAUCCGGAUUCACUGGGUUUAAAGGGUGCGUAGGCGGGUUGAUAAGUCAGUGGUGAAAGCUCCGGGCUUAACUUGGAAACUGCCAUUGAUACUGUCAGUCUUGAAUGUCGUGGAGGUAAGCGGAAUGUUGCAUGUAGCGGUGAAAUGCUUAGAUAUGUUACAGAACACCAAUUGCGAAGGCAGCUUACUAUGCGAUAAUUGACGCUGAGGCACGAAAGCGUGGGGAGCAAACAGGAUUAGAAACCCCAGUAGUCC
rnacentral:rRNA from 1 species